CCCUGACUGUCAGACACUCCAUAAGAGCACUGAUUAUCCUGCCAAGGAUCUGAUGCCCAGCACUCUCAAAGUGAAGGGUCCUUCUAUAGGCCACAGUCAGCUGUAUUCUGAGCAGAAGCAGAAAGAAGGCCACUAUCACCCACUCGGUUUUGUACCUUGCCAUGGAUGCCAAAGCAGUCAUACUCAGAAGGGCAUAUGGGAUGCAUUAACAACACCCUUGCUGGAUCCUCGGAUGCUGUGGACAGGCCCAACAAGUGCUGAAAGGAGGGGGCAGCCCUGAUACUCAUCUGCUGAUAAGCGCACCCACUGGGGGACUCAGAAGGGAAUUCCAGAACAUUCUUUUGAUAAAGCCUCCAAGCCACCAGAUCUGCUGCUGCCAGCACUAAAAAUAGUUGGGUGUAGUUGAGAAAGCAUUGGUCUGGAAGUGGGAAGGUGUGGGGCCCUCAUCCUGCUCAUGAACUAGCUUUAUGUCCUUGCCAUUAAACCUGUUCGCCUCCCAAUGCGCUCUCUUCUGAGCAUCAGGGAGCAGCACUUUUUUGAUCACGGGGCAGGUGGGGAUCCCAAGGGAGAUAAUGAACCUGAAAGUAUUUGGCCAAUGCCAACUCCAGUCUCAGGAGACGAGUGCAAGGAAGGGUCACGAUAAGAAAGCCGCCACACUGAGGACACUUGGUCUAUUGUCAGUCUGUCAUUGUAGCAGGAGUAAAAUCCUCCCACAUUCCGGAUUUUGAUGGUCUGUAGGUGGCCCUUCAGUGAGGAGAUGAUUCCCUCUGUUCUACUCCCUCCUAACUUUCUGUGCAACAGUCAGCCACGCUCUCGUCUGGCCUGCCCUGUCCUAUCACUCCAUCGUCCAUGACCACCACAUAUGUGUUUAAUACGGGGAAGGCCUACACAGCAGCCAGAAAUGCGAAUGGCUAUUCUCAGCAAAUGCGAGGUUACCCGAGCCGCAGGAUAAAUAAACGUGGUUAUUUUUCCUUUUUAAAAAUAGUUAUUCCGUUCUUUUUUAAGACUUUGAAAUACAGUAUAAAUAGUCUAUAUUGAGCACUGACUAUAGGCCAGUCUGUGUUAAUACUUUACCAACAUUAUUUCAUUUAUUAUUC
rnacentral:lncRNA from 1 species